rnacentral:rRNA from 1 species
CGGUGAGGUGACUUGUCUGGUUAAUUCCGAUAACGGACGAGAUCUUGACUUGCUAACUAUAGCGUGUUAGGACUCUAGCAUGUCUAUUCUUAGCGGGACGUUGGAAUGUAAUUCCAAGGAAGUUCGAGCCUAUAACA